ensembl:lncRNA
CUCGAGUGCAGACUAAGAAUCCAGUGCUGACACACAGGGCUCAGCUGCCUCAGAUUCUUCCUCCCUCCAUGGGGGUUCCGCCUCCCCUCCCCACCCAGGGACAAAGACCAACCAACUCGGCUCUGUGCAGACAAACACAUAUAAGGACAGCAGCUGGGGUGACCACCACUGACGACCAUUUCAACGCCACUGACCCAAACAACGUUUUCUCCAAACCAGUGACUGAGCUGGACAGACCUCCUGCGGGGGAGUUCACAGCGGGCAGGCCCAGAAACACUCUCAUUUCUGUCAAAGCCGGAAACAACCACUUCUCAACCUUUCUGGAAUUCCUGGAGAGGCUGACCAUGGACACGGCAAGGACUAUUCCUAGCUCCUGGGUGCAAGAGGCUCUGGAAGCACCCUGCCCUCUGGUCCAUCUCGGAGAGGUAGCUUCUGCUGCUACCCUUAUGUCACCGAUGAAGAAACUGAUGCUCAGAGAGAUUCAAGAUUUGACCGGGUCCACUCAGACAACAAGGGGCCGAGCAAGACAACCUCAGUCCUUUUGAAUCCUAAUCUCCAACUCCUUCGACUGCAGCAAAAUCCCUUCCAGGGUUCCAUUUGUUCCCCGCCGAGUUUUUCUGGGCCCAAGAUUUAGUCCUGGCCUGAUAUUUGCUCUGGGAAUAAUCCAGACUCUGAGGCUGAUCCCAGGCAGAGGACUUAACUGAGGCCUUGGAAUGCUGAUGAAGACCACGAGAGGCAGUAUCGAGUGGUGGUUAAGAGCAGGCACUUAACAUUAGAUGCAACAGGGCUCCAGUCCCAGUUUCUAGCCUGGUGACCUUGAGAAAGUUACUUAACAUCUUUGCCUAUUUCCUCAUCCAUAAAAUAGGAAUAAUAUGAGAAUCUCUCAGGGUUGUAUUAAACACGCACAGAGAUAACAGAUGUUAAGGCCUUAGUUCAGUGUUCAGUUCUCACUAAUAUGCUGAAGAUGCUAUGGCAAAUAUUCAUGGUGGAUGGCCCGCCCACUCUGG